UAUGUAGGGCGCGAGCGUUGUCCGGAAUUAUUGGGCGUAAAGAGCUCGUAGGCGGUUUGUCACGUCGGCUGUGAAAACCCGAGGCUCAACCUCGGGCCUGCAGUCGAUACGGGCAGACUAGAGUGCUGUAGGGGAGACUGGAAUUCCUGGUGUAGCGGUGAAAUGCGCAGAUAUCAGGAGGAACACCGGUGGCGAAGGCGGGUCUCUGGGCAGUAACUGACGCUGAGGAGCGAAAGCGUGGGGAGCAAACAGG
rnacentral:rRNA from 1 species